rnacentral:rRNA from 1 species
UACAGAGGGUGCGAGCGUUAAUCGGAGUUACUGGGCGUAAAGGGCGCGUAGGCGGUUCGUUAAGUGAGAUGUGAAAUCCCUGGGCUUAACCUAGGAACUGCAUCUCAUACUGGCGGGCUAGAGUAUUGUAGAGGGUAGUGGAAUUUCCGGUGUAGCGGUGAAAUGCGUAGAGAUCGGAAGGAACACCAGUGGCGAAGGCGGCUACCUGGACAAAUACUGACGCUGAGGCGCGAAAGCGUGGGGAGCAAAC